AGAGUUUGAUCAUGGCUCAGGAUGAACGCUGGCGGCGUGCCUAACACAUGCAAGUCGAGCGAUUCUCUUCGGAGAAGAGCGGCGGACGGGUGAGUAACGCGUGGGUAACCUGCCUCAUACACAUGGAUAACAUACCGAAAGGUAUGCUAAUACAAGAUAAUAUAAGAGAUUCGCAUGGGUCUCUUAUCAAAGCUUUUGCGGUAUGAGAUGGACCCGCGUCUGAUUAGCUAGCUGGUAAGGUAACGGCUUACCAAGGCGACGAUCAGUAGCCGACCUGAGAGGGUGAUCGGCCACAUUGGAACUGAGACACGGUCCAAACUCCUACGGGAGGCAGCAGUGGGGAAUAUUGCACAAUGGGCGAAAGCCUGAUGCAGCAACGCCGCGUGAGCGAUGAAGGCCUUCGGGUCGUAAAGCUCUGUCCUCAAGGAAGAUAAUGACGGUACUUGAGGAGGAAGCCCCGGCUAACUACGUGCCAGCAGCCGCGGUAAUACGUAGGGGGCUAGCGUUAUCCGGAUUUACUGGGCGUAAAGGGUGCGUAGGUGGUUUCUUAAGUCAGGAGUGAAAGGCUACGGCUCAACCGUAGUAAGCUCUUGAAACUGGGAAACUUGAGUGCAGGAGAGGAAAGUGGAAUUCCUAGUGUAGCGGUGAAAUGCGUAGAUAUUAGGGGGAACACCAGUAGCGAAGGCGGCUUUCUGGACUGUAACUGACACUGAGGCACGAAAGCGUGGGGAGCAAACAGGAUUAGAUACCCUGGUAGUCCACGCCGUAAACGAUGAGUACUAGGUGUCGGGGGUUACCCCCCUCGGUGCCGCAGCUAACGCAUUAAGUACUCCGCCUGGGGAGUACGCUCGCAAGAGUGAAACUCAAAUGAAUUGACGG
rnacentral:rRNA from 1 species